AAAGGAUUCUCAUUGUACUGCAAGACAUCUUUGCUUGCAUUCCAUUUCCCUCUGCUAGUAGAAUAACCAUUACAAGUAUCAUCCCCUUUAGAAAUUGUGGCAUAUCUUAUGUAAACCAUUUUAUAUGCUUGCAACUUCUUCUCUUUGCAUAUUCUGAUGUUUAAGUUUGCUAUGUUAACUCAUGAGUUUAUUGUAUUGGAAUUUCAGUCUUGAGAUUAGUUAUAUUGUACUGG
rnacentral:misc_RNA from 1 species